rnacentral:lncRNA from 1 species
UAAUCAGGUAAGUCAUCCCUUCAUAUUCAUUCAACUACCAACAAACAGAAACGAGCCUUAUCCAUUGUGAAUCACAUACCAUAUCCUCAUGCUUAUAUCAAUAGCCUAGGUUGAGGGUUGAAUCCACAACGAUUUAUCAUAUAUUCAAAUAACAUAAUGAGCAUAGUUAUGAUAGUUCUAAUAUGAAGAAAAUCAUGAUUUUUUACUAGUGCAAUACUAACACAGCAGCCAUAACAAGUCUGGAACUAAAUAGUAUGCCCCUUUUGAUUUUAACGUGUUCUGUACACAUCUAAUUAAAAAUCAUACAAAUAAAACACAUACUUUUCAUUCAUUUGGUUUCAACAGAGAUGUAUAUAUUAACAUGAGAAUGCAGCGCAAUAAUGUUAAGACAUAGGGUUCAUUUCUGGAUAAUCUUUAGCCUAAAUCAAUUAUGCAUGACCAACCAGUUUCGUACUGUAAAAUCAAAUAACAAAAGGGUUAAGUUUCUUACCGAAACCCCUCGCUUAUGCGAUUCGGAACCACCGCGAGUCGUCGGGCGGGUAAAAAUCUGAAUCCGGGUCACCGGGAGGGUUGAAGUUUUCAUUGAUGAAUACCAUCGUCAACCACCAUCAUCACUGCGCCAGAGAGGGAGAAGGCGAAAUUUAAAGAGGUUCCCUUUCAUCACCGCCAAUAAACGAAGUAGAAAAAGAGGAGAGGUUGCGGGAGAGAAGAACAAAAAUUGGGGGUUUACCCCUGGCCGUGACCCUUGGGGUGAUUAGGCAUAGCCCUUUGCGCCACCGUAGCGCCACCCCUGCCACCAUCGCGCCACCUCCUUGGCUACCACGUGAGAAAGGAAGAAUUUUAGGGAUUUCCUCAAAUUGGCUUCGUGAAGAAUGGGAACCAUAGGAAUUAUCCCUUUUUUACAUGUGAGUUUGGGUUUAGUUUUUCUAGUUGU